rnacentral:rRNA from 1 species
AUACGAAGGGGGCUAGCGUUGUUCGGAAUUACUGGGCGUAAAGCGCACGUAGGCGGAUUGGAAAGUUGGGGGUGAAAUCCCAGGGCUCAACCCUGGAACUGCCUCCAAAACUAACAGUCUAGAGUUCGAGAGAGGUGAGUGGAAUUCCAAGUGUAGAGGUGAAAUUCGUAGAUAUUUGGAGGAACACCAGUGGCGAAGGCGGCUCACUGGCUCGAUACUGACGCUGAGGUGCGAAAGCGUGGGGAGCAGACAGGAUUAGAAACCCUAGUAGUCC